UGAGGAAUCUUGGUCAAUGGACGGAAGUCUGAACCAGCCAUGUCGCGUGAAGGAGGACGGCCCUAAGGGUUGUAAACUUCUUUUGCAGGGGAAUAAAGUAUUCCACGAGAUGGGAUAUUGCAAGUACGCUGCGAAUAAGGAUCGGCUAACUCCGUGCCAGCAGCCGCGGUAAUACGGAGGAUCCGAGCGUUAUCCGGAUUUAUUGGGUUUAAAGGGUGCGCAGGCGGGAAGUUAGGUCGGCGGUGAAAUUUCGGGGCUCAACCCCGAGAGUGCCGUUGAAACCGGUUUUCUUGAGUGCGGAUGAGGUAGGCGGAAUUUGUGGUGUAGCGGUGAAAUGCGUAGAUAUCACAAGGAACACCGAUUGCGGAGGCAGCUUACUAAACCGUUACUGACGCUCAUGCACGAAGGCGUGGGGAUCAAACAGG
rnacentral:rRNA from 1 species